rnacentral:tRNA from 1 species
ACCUGGGUGGCUCAGUCGGUUAAGCGUCUGACUUUAGCUCAGAUCAUGAUCUCACGGUUCGUGGGUUCCAGCCCCACGUCAGGCU